UACGUAGGUGGCAAGCGUUGUCCGGAAUUAUUGGGCGUAAAGCGCGCGCAGGCGGUUUUUUAAGUCUGAUGUGAAAGCCCACGGCUCAACCGUGGAGGGUCAUUGGAAACUGGGGAACUUGAGUACAGAAGAGGAAAGCGGAAUUCCACGUGUAGCGGUGAAAUGCGUAGAGAUGUGGAGGAACACCAGUGGCGAUGGCGGCUUUCUGGUCUGUAACUGACGCUGAGGCGCGAAAGCGUGGGGAGCAAACAGG
rnacentral:rRNA from 1 species